rnacentral:rRNA from 1 species
GACUGUGCAAGGUAGCAUAAUCAUUAGUUUUUUAAUUGAAGACUUGAAUAAAUGGUUAAAUGAGAUAUUUAUUGUUUCUUUAUAUUUUUUAUUUAAUUUUAUAUUUUAGUUAAAAAGCUAAAAUUUUUAUUAAAGACGAGAAGACCCUAUAAAGCUUUAUAUUUUUAAAAAGAUUUUUAAUAAAAUAAUUUAAAAGAUUUUAUUUAAAAAUAUUUUAUUGGGGUGAUAAAAAAAUUUAAUAAACUUUUUUUUUAUUUUCAUUUAUUAAUGUUAUAAAAUUUAUUUUUUAAAAAUAAUUAUUUUUGAUCCUUUAUUUAUGAUUAAAAGUUUAAGUUACUUUAGGGAUAACAGCGUAAUUUUUUUGGAGAGUUCAAAUUUAUAAAAAAGAUUGCGACCUCGAUGUUGGACUAAGAGUAAAUUUUAGGUGUAGAAGUUUAAAAUUUUAAGUCUGUUCGACUUUUUAUUCUUACGUGAUCUGAGUUCAAACCGGUGUAAGCCAGG